UAUGAUUUAAAAUGUUUUCAUCAAUUUUUAUCGCUAAGACUCAGCUUAAUAAAUAAACCACAUCAUCGAGUCAUCCCUGCACUACAGGUCAAGGAUAUUCAUUAAAUCAUCAAUGGUCAUGAUUAUACCGAAUAAUCUCUGGUCAUAAUCAUACCAAAAACUGUCCAUCAAUGCACUACAGGCCACUGAGGACUUUUACCACCUCAUUUA
rnacentral:lncRNA from 1 species